rnacentral:rRNA from 1 species
GACGAACGCUGGCGGCGUGCCUAAUACAUGCAAGUAGAACGCUGAAGGAGGAGCUUGCUCUUCUGGAUGAGUUGCGAACGGGUGAGUAACGCGUAGGUAACCUGCCUGGUAGCGGGGGAUAACUAUUGGAAACGAUAGCUAAUACCGCAUAAAAUUGAUUAUUGCAUGAUAGUCAAUUAAAAGGUGCAAUUGCAUCACUACCAGAUGGACCUGCGUUGUAUUAGCUAGUUGGUGAGGUAACGGCUCACCAAGGCAACGAUACAUAGCCGACCUGAGAGGGUGAUCGGCCAAACUGGGACUGAGACACGGCCCAGACUCCUACGGGAGGCAGCAGUAGGGAAUCUUCGGCAAUGGACGGAAGUCUGAACGAGCAACGCCGCGUGAGUGAAGAAGGUUUUCGGAUCGUAAAGCUCUGUUGUAAGAGAAGAACGAGUGUGAGAGUGGAAAGUUCACACUGUGACGGUAUCUUACCAGAAAGGGACGGCUAACUACGUG